GAUGAACGCUUGCGGCGUGCCUAAUACAUGCAAGUCGAACGAACAGGCCAGGCUCUUGCUCCUCUGACGUGAGCGGCGGACGGGUGACUCACACGUGGAUAACCUACCUAUAUGACUGGGAUAACUUCGAGAAACCGGAGCUAAUACCAGAUAAUAUAUUGAACCGCAUGGUUCUAUAGUGAAAUACGGUUUUUCGGUCACUUCUCGAUGUAUCCGCGCCGUAUUAGCUAGUUGGUAAGGUAACGGCUUACCAAGGGAACGAUGGGUAGCCGACCUGGGAGAGGGAUAGCCGACACUGGAACUGAACCAGCGUCAAGAGGCCUACGGGAGGCAGCAGUAGGGAAUGGGACGCAGCGGGGGGAAGCAUGACGGAGCGGCGCCGAGUGAGAGACGACGGUGUCCGGAGCGUAAAGAUGGGUUAUGAGGGAUGAACAAAUGUGUAAGUAGAAGUGGAGGUAUUGACGGUACCUGAUGAGGAAGCACCGGCUAACUACGUG
rnacentral:rRNA from 1 species